GGGGGCGCAACGCCCUCGACC
rnacentral:snRNA from 1 species